CCUACGGGUGGCAGCAGUGGGGAAUAUUGCACAAUGGGGGAAACCCUGAUGCAGCAACGCCGCGUGAAGGAAGACGGUUUUCGGAUUGUAAACUUCUGUUCUUAGUGAAGAAUAAUGACGGUAGCUAAGGAGCAAGCCACGGCUAACUACGUGCCAGCAGCCGCGGUAAUACGUAGGUGGCAAGCGUUGUCCGGAAUCACUGGGCGUAAAGAGUGCGUAGGCGGGGUAAUAAGUCAGAUGUGAAAUCCUGUAGCUUAACUACAGAACUGCAUUUGAAACUGUUACUCUGGAGUGUGGGAGAGGUAGGUGGAAUUCUUGGUGUAGGGGUAAAAUCCGUAGAGAUCAAGAGGAAUACUCAUUGCGAAGGCGACCUGCUGGAACAUUACUGACGCUGAUGCACGAAAGCGUGGGGAGCAAACAGGAUUAGAUACCCGAGUAGUC
rnacentral:rRNA from 1 species